rnacentral:rRNA from 1 species
UGGGGAAUAUUGCACAAUGGGCGAAAGCCUGGUGCAGCAACGCCGCGUGAGUGAUGAAGGCCUUCGGGUUGUAAAGCUCUGUCUUUUGGGACGAUAAUGACGGUACCAAAGGAGGAAGCCACGGCUAACUACGUGCCAGUAGCCGCGGUAAUACGUAGGUGGCAAGCGUUGUCCGGAUUUACUGGGCGUAAAGGAUGCGUAGGCGGAUUUUUAAGUGAGAUGUGAAAACCCUAAGCUUAACUUGGGGACUGCAUUUCAUACUGGAAAUCUAGAGUGCGGGAGAGGAGAAUGGAAUUCCUAGUGUAGCGGUGAAAUGCGUAGAGAUUAGGAAGAACACCAGUGGCGAAGGCGAUUCUCUGGACCGUAACUGACGCUGAGGCAUGAAAGCGUGGGUAGCAAACAGGAUUAGAUACCCUGAUAGUCCACGCCGUAAACGAUGAGUACUAGGUGUAGGAGGUAUCGACCCCUUCUGUGCCGCAGUUAACACAAUAAGUACUCCGCCUGGGAAGUACGAUCGCAAGAUUAAAACUUAAAUGAAUUGACGGGGUCAUAGCUG